rnacentral:rRNA from 1 species
UACGGAGGGUGCAAGCGUUAUCCGGAUUCACUGGGUUUAAAGGGUGCGUAGGUGGGUCUGUAAGUCAGUGGUGAAAUCUCCAAGCUUAAACUUGGAAACUGCCAUUGAUACUAUAGGUCUUGAAUAUCCUGGAGGUGAGCGGAAUAUGUCAUGUAGCGGUGAAAUGCUUAGAUAUGACAUAGAACACCAAUUGCGAAGGCAGCUCACUACGGGAUUAAUUGGACACUGAGGCACGAAAGCGUGGGGAUCAAACAGG